rnacentral:rRNA from 1 species
AUUGAACGCUGGCGGUAUGCCUAACACAUGCAAGUCGAACGGCAGCAGAGUAAGGGCUUCCGAUUAGGGGCGACGGGUGGAGUACGGGUGAGGAAUGUGUCCGAAUGUGGGGGUUCGCGGAGGAAAAGGUAUGCAAACAUACGAUAAUACCGCAGAAGAAAUACGGGUGAAAGCAGGGGAUCUUCGGACCUUGCGCGCUGGAAGGAGCCGAUGUCGGAUUAGCUAGUUGGGGGGAUAAAGGCCCACCAAGGCGACGAUCCGUAGCUGGUCUGAGAGGACGAUCAGCCACACUGGAACUGAGACACGGCCCAGACUCCUACGGGAGGCAGCAGUGGGGAAUAUUGGACAAUGGGCGAAAGCCUGAUCCAGCCAUGCCGCGUGCGUGAAGAAGGCCUUCGGGUUGUAAACCCCUUUUGUUCGGAACGAAAAGCCGCUGGUUAAUACAGAGCUUCCAUGACGGUACCCUAAGAAUAAGCACCGGCUAACUUCGUG